rnacentral:other from 1 species
UAUUGCCUGCGGAGUUCGUGAAAAAGACAUUCGCAUUUUAGCGACUGUCUGCCCUGUGUAAAAACCCACAUUAACGAAAGGGAGUUCAUAUUCUUCGAUGGUGAGCAGGCCUCCCGUAUAAUCGCUGCUUAUGUCACCUUUUAUACGGAUGUUGGAAGCUCUGAAGUCGCGGAGAGGACACCCACCUGCACAUGGCAGGGUUCGUUUUCAUGGGGACACGGCUUUGCGGGUAAGGA